UACGGGGGGGGGCAAGCGUUGUUCGGAAUUACUGGGCGUAAAGGGCUCGUAGGCGGCCAACUAAGUCAUACGUGAAAUCCCCCGGCUUAACCGGGGAACUGCGUCUGAUACUGGAUGGCUUGAGUUCGGGAGAGGAAAGCGGAAUUCCUGGUGUAGAGGUGAAAUUCGUAGAUAUCAGGAGGAACACCAGUGGCGAAGGCGGCUUUCUGGACGAUAACUGACGCUGAGACGCGAAAGCGUGGGGAGCAAACAGG
rnacentral:rRNA from 1 species